AACGAACGCUGGCGGCAUGCCUAACACAUGCAAGUCGAACGAGACCUUCGGGUCUAGUGGCGCACGGGUGCGUAACGCGUGGGAACCUGCCCUUAGGUUCGGAAUAACUCCCCGAAAGGGGUGCUAAUACCGGAUAAUGUCUUCGGACCAAAGAUUUAUCGCCUUUGGAUGGGCCCGCGUUGUAUUAGCUAGUUGGUAGGGUAAAAGCCUACCAAGGCGACGAGACAUAGCUGGUCUGAGAGGAUGAUCAGCCACACUGGGACUGAGACACGGCCCAGAAUCCUACGGGAGGCAGCAGUGGGGAAUAUUGGACAAUGGGCGAAAGCCUGAUCCAGCAAUGCCGCGUGAGUGAUGAAGGCCUUAGGGUUGUAAAGCUCUUUUACCCGGGAUGAUAAUGACAGUACCGGGAGAAUAAGCUCCGGCUAACUCCGUG
rnacentral:rRNA from 1 species